ACUAGCCUAACUGAAAUCACAAAAUCACAAAUGUGCUUAUUGUGAUAACGUAAGGGAAAAAAUGGAUAUUACCUUACUAUAAGUGUUGUCUAAAUAACUGGUGCCAGAAGACUCGGUAACACCAGAAACGCGUAACGUUAGUCUGUCUUAAACAUGCGUAAAGGGUAAGUACGCUGCUUUAAAUUCUAAUUUUAAAUAAGCUAAUUAAUAAUAAUCCUCUUGACCUUAGGGAUCUACCCCAUAGUCUUAAAUUUUAAUUCUUUUAUCCCGACCCCCCAUUCCAUUAGGGCCAUGGGUAGGGGGAAUUCAAUUUAAAAAUAUCCAGUACUAGGAAGUUUGCAAAGCAAGGGCCAUGACUAAGAGACUACAAAUCUUCAGACCUUAAAUUAUAAAUUAAGGCUAACUCAAAAUGAAAAUAGGUAAUGAUUAGGGCCCAUAGGUCAGGGAGCUAAUAUUAUUGAUUAUUAANUCANANUUAGAUACACUUAAAGCUAGNAUCAUCAUUNAGAUAAACCAAAUNAUACUUAUGUGUAAGGGCGAUAUCUGAAAAUACUAAGUNNAUACUAAUGGUGAAAACUUUUUAUCUGGUAAUGAUUGACGCUGAGGUACGUAAGUGNCGNACAGGGCAUAGGAUUAGAUACCCAGUUACGUCUCACCGUCAACGAUGAUUGGUAGUUGUUAGUUUAAUUUAAUUAGUGACGAUGUUAACGCGAUNACCAUUCCGCCUUGAGAGUACGGUUGCAAGAACUGAAACCAAAAAANAUUAGCUCGGUUCUCGGAGCAA
rnacentral:rRNA from 1 species